GGAUUGCCCUAGUAACGGCGAGUGAAGCGGCAACAGCUCAAAUUUGAAAUCUGGCUUCGGCCCGAGUUGUAAUUUGUAGAGGAAGCUUUUGGUGCGGCACCUACUGAGUCCCCUGGAACGGGGCGCCAUAGAGGGUGAGAGCCCCGUAUAGUAGGACGCCUAGCCUGUGUAAAGCUCCUUCGACGAGUCGAGUAGUUUGGGAAUGCUGCUCUAAAUGGGAGGUAAAUUUCUUCUAAAGCUAAAUAUUGGCCAGAGACCGAUAGCGCACAAGUAGAGUGAUCGAAAGAUGAAAAGCACUUUGAAAAGAGGGUUAAACAGCACGUGAAAUUGUUGAAAGGGAAGCGCUUGUGACCAGACUUGCGCCGGGCGGAUCAUCCGGUGUUCUCACCGGUGCACUCCGCCCGGCUCAGGCCAGCAUCGGUUCUCGUGGGGGGAUAAAGGCUCUGGGAACGUGGCUCCUCCGGGAGUGUUAUAGCCCAGGGUGCAAUGCCCUCGUGGGGACCGAGGUUCGCGCAUCUGCAAGGAUGCUGGCGUAAUGGUCAUCAGCGACCCGUCUUGAAACACGGACCAAGGAGUCAAGGUUUUGCGCGAGUGUUUGGGUGUAAAACCCGCACGCGUAAUGAAAGUGAACGUAGGUGAGAGCUUCGGCGCAUCAUCGACCGAUCCUGAUGUAUUCGGAUGGAUUUGAGUAGGAGCGUUAAGCCUUGGACCCGAAAGAUGGUGAACUAUGCUUGGAUAGGGUGAAGCCAGAGGAAACUCUGGUGGAGGCUCGCAGCGGUUCUGACGUGCAAAUCGAUCGUCAAAUCUGAGCAUGGGGGCGAAAGACU
rnacentral:rRNA from 1 species